rnacentral:rRNA from 1 species
UGCUGUGGGGAAUUUUGGACAAUGGGGGCAACCCUGAUCCAGCAAUGCCGCGUGUGUGAAGAAGGCCUUCGGGUUGUAAAGCACUUUUGUCCGGAAAGAAAUUGCUCUGGCUAAUACCUGGGGUAGAUGACGGUACCGGAAGAAUAAGCACCGGCUAACUACGUGCCAGCAGCCGCGGUAAUACGUAGGGUGCGAGCGUUAAUCGGAAUUACUGGGCGUAAAGCGUGCGCAGGCGGUUUUGUAAGACAGGCGUGAAAUCCCCGGGCUCAACCUGGGAAUUGCGCUUGUGACUGCAAGGCUAGAGUGCGUCAGAGGGGGGUAGAAUUCCACGUGUAGCAGUGAAAUGCGUAGAGAUGUGGAGGAAUACCGAUGGCGAAGGCAGCCCCCUGGGACGUGACUGACGCUCAUGCACGAAAGCGUGGGGAGCAAACAGGAUUUAGAU